UCAUAAUGCCAAACACCAAUUUAGACUCCAUUCUCGUAGAAGUAUUAAAUAUAUGCAUAUCAUGUAUAUCCAACCAAAGAGAUUGUAUUAAAUGGAUCAUAUAGCAAUCUACAAUUAAAAAAUUACCAGAAAACAAGCAAAGAUUCAGUCACAGCUGACUUAGUAGAUUAAACAAGGAACAAUCUCUGCCAAUACUCAAGCUAUUUUCGAUUAUCUAACUAUAAUUUACGAAAGUAGAGACUUUGAAUUUGAGGUUCAAUCUAAUCAAUUAAAAAAAAUAUAAACACUUGAAAAUCAGCUACAAACCACGACCUUCAAAACUUUUGGG